rnacentral:rRNA from 1 species
AGAGUUUGAUCCUGGCUCAGAUGAACGCUGGCGGCGUGCUUAACACAUGCAAGUCGAGCGAGAGAGUUCCUUCGGGAACAAUCUAGCGGCGGACGGGUGAGGUAACACGUGGGCAACCUGCCUCAUAGAGGGGAAUAGCUCCCGAAAGGGAGAUUAAUACCGCAUAAUAUCAUUGAGUGGCAUCAUUUAAUGAUUAAAGGAGUAAUCCGCUAUGAGAUGGGCCCGCGGCGCAUUAGCUAGUUGGUGAGGUAACGGCUCACCAAGGCGACGAUGCGUAGCCGACCUGAGAGGGUGAUCGGCCACAUUGGGACUGAGACACGGCCCAGACUCCUACGGGAGGCAGCAGUGGGGAAUAUUGCACAAUGGGGGAAACCCUGAUGCAGCAACGCCACGUGAGUGAUGAAGGUCUUCGGAUUGUAAAGCUCUGUCUUCAGGGACGAUAAUGACGGUACCUGAGGAGGAAGCCACGGCUAACUACGUG